GAGAAAGGCUAACUUGGCAAAGCGCUUCUGGGCCAUCCCUUAGAUCAUUGCAGGGCCAAACGCUAUAAGAGCUGUUUGCUUGUGAGUGCCAGGCAGAUGGACCAGUCCGAUUAUUAGCAGUGGAUAUCCCUCGGUGGCGGCUGACAGGCAGAACAAAACCGCACCUGUAUGCUGGGCACUUGUACAGCCACUGGCACCUCCAGCUCUCUCAGCUACGCUCAACACCAUCCCGCAAGGCGGACAAACUUCAUACACUAAAAAAUGGCGAUUUUCAACAAAUGGGUAUACAGUGGAAUUGUUGCCAUAGUAACAUUGACAGCCAUUGUGAUGACGGCGGACGAGGAGGCAGAAAACUGGUCGGAACAGUCGGGCAGCUCUAGGCUGAAUGAACUAGCUAGCAUAGAUAAAGCCCUGCUGGCUCGCUAUCUGGCCGAUAUGUUGUCACGGAAUCCCUCCUAUGACAGCCCUAUUCCCCCAGGAAGCACCUUACAGGCCAAACUUCAGUCCUACAUCAAUGCCCAGUCUCCAAUGGCCAAGCGUGAUGGCUACUGGGUCUGGAUGCCAGCUCAAGGAUUCGUGCCCAUCCCCAAACAGAACGGCGUUGGCUCCUCAAAGAGCGCUUCCCACACAAAAAUCCUGCGUUACGGUUAAGAGGCAUGCUCCCGGCUACUGGACCCCCAUGGGCUCUGCCAGGGCCAUGGCAAACCAUUCCAUUGACACAAGAGACAUUCGCAACACACCUGGGUGCUCUGCCUUCUGGGGCCCCCAUCACAGACUCCACUCAUUCUUAUACCCGAUUCUACUAGACCUAUCUGACACUCACUGACUACUCUCUGGAUACAACAUUCUCACCAACGGCAGAGCAGCUGUAAAACCCGGAAGAAUAUAUUUUUGAAACCAAAAGUAUGCAGCAGUGUAUUUAGAUGGGGCGCAGCCUGAACAAGCAGCACAGUCCAGUGCUGAGAGAGCCUAUUCAGCACUCUCUGCAGCGCGCCUUAGCGCCCACCUUAAACCCUGUGUUCACACUCUGCAGAGCAUCCUAUUACCCAUCAUAAACUGUGUGUUCACUAGAAAUAAGAAGCUGGUAAUAAAGAGAAAGGGGACUGCCCUUUGGCCAUAAUA